UAAAUUGGUAUAGAAACAGAGUAUGGCAUUUUUUUUUUUAAUAAAACUGCUAUAUAUUCCAGUAAUUACAUCUUGAGCAUUUAUAUUAGAGAAAUUACAACUUAUGUUAACACAGAAAUCUAUAUAUCACUGUUCACAACAACUUUGUUUGCAAUAGCCCAAGCCAGAAAUAACCCAGAUGUCCUUUAAUAGGUGAACAGUUAAAGGAAAUGUCAGACUUCUGUACCAGGACUAUGAUUCAUCAGUGGAAAAAAACAAGUUAUUGAUACAGGCACCUUCUUGGAUGGAUUGCUGGGGAGUUAUGAGAUCACAAGUAGGCACAGAGGCAAGCAGAGAGAGAGGAAGGGAAGCAGGCUCCCUGCUGAGCAGAGAGCCCGAUGUGGGACUCGAUCCCAGGACCCUGGGACCAUGACCUGAGCUGAAGGCAGAGGCUUUAACCCCCUGAGCCACCCAGGCGCCCCAUCAGAGGAGUUUUAAUUUGAAGGUAAGAAACUAGUAUUAAAUUUAUGAUUGAGUAUUUAAAUAGUAACCAUAGAACUGUUACUUGAACUGACUGAAGUGAUACUCCACUCUGAAACUCCAGUGUAAGAAUAGUAGCCAGUAUCCAUUAAUACCCGGCAGAGUUCAGAAUUCA
rnacentral:lncRNA from 1 species